rnacentral:rRNA from 1 species
AUUGAACGCUGGCGGCAUGCCUUACACAUGCAAGUCGAACGGCAGCACGGGUGCUUGCACCUGGUGGCGAGUGGCGAACGGGUGAGUAAUAUAUCGGAACGUACCUUAUUGUGGGGGAUAACGCAGCGAAAGCUGUGCUAAUACCGCAUAAUCCCUAAGGGGGAAAGCGGGGGACCGUAAGGCCUCGCGCAAUUAGAGCGGCCGAUACCUGAUUAGCUAGUUGGUGAGGUAAAGGCUCACCAAGGCAACGAUCAGUAGCUGGUCUGAGAGGACGAUCAGCCACACUGGGACUGAGACACGGCCCAGACUCCUACGGGAGGCAGCAGUGGGGAAUUUUGGACGAUGGGGGCAACCCUGAUCCAGCAAUGCCGCGUGAGUGAAGAAGGCCUUCGGGUUGUAAAGCUCUUUUGUCAGGGAAGAAACAGCAGCUCUAACACAGUUUGCGAAUGACGGUACCUGAAGAAUAAGCACCGGCUAACUACGUGCCAGCCGCCGCUGUAA